rnacentral:rRNA from 1 species
AUGGGAACGCGAAGAACCUUACCUACUCUUGACAUCCAGAGAACUUUCCAGAGAUGGAUUGGUGCCUUCGGGAACUCUGAGACAGGUGCUGCAUGGCUGUCGUCAGCUCGUGUUGUGAAAUGUUGGGUUAAGUCCCGCAACGAGCGCAACCCGUUAUCCUUUGUUGCCAGCGGUUAGGCCGGGAACUCAAAGGAGACUGCCAGUGAUAAACUGGAGGAAGGUGGGGAUGACGUCAAGUCAUCAUGGCCCUUACGAGUAGGGCUACACACGUGCUACAAUGGCGCAUACAAAGAGAAGCGACCUCGCGAGAGCAAGGCGGACCUCAUAAAGUGCGUCGUAGUCCGGAUUGGAGUCUGCAACUCGACUCCAUGAAGUCGGAAUCGCUAGUAAUCGUAGAUC